AAGUCGUAACAAGGUUUCCGUAGGUGAACCUGCGGAAGGAUCAUUAAAGUUAUAGUCCCCUGGCCCUCUGGGUUGGGGUCUUCUAUACCACCCUUUGUUUAUUACACUUUUGUUGCUUUGGCAGGCCUGCCUCCGGGCUGCUGGCUCCGGCCGGCGAGCGUCUGCCAGAGGACCUAAACUCUGUUUGUCUAUGCUGUCUGAGUACUAUAUAAUAGUUAAAACUUUCAACAACGGAUCUCUUGGUUCUGGCAUCGAUGAAGAACGCAGCGAAAUGCGAUAAGUAAUGUGAAUUGCAGAAUUCAGUGAAUCAUCGAAUCUUUGAACGCACAUUGCGCCCCCUGGUAUUCCGGGGGGCAUGCCUGUCCGAGCGUCAUUACAACCCUCAAGCUCUGCUUGGUGUUGGGCCCCGCCGCCCCGGCGGGCCCUAAAGUCAGUGGCGGUGCCAUCCGGCUCCGAGCGUAGUAAUUCUUCUCGCUCUGGAGGUCCGGGUGUGUGCCCGCCAGCAACCCCCAAUUUUUUCAUGUUGACCUCGGAUCAGGUAGGGAUACCCGCUGAACUUAAGCAUAUCAAUAAGCGGAGGAAAAGAAACCAACAGGGAUUACCUCAGUAACGGCGAGUGAAGCGGUAACAGCUCAAAUUUGAAAUCUGGCCUCACGGUCCGAGUUGUAAUUUGUAGAGGAUGCUUCGAGCAUGGUCUGGCCUAAGUUCCUUGGAACAGGACGUCAUAGAGGGUGAGAAUCCCGUAUGCGACCAGGUGCCUACGCUCAUGUGAAGCUCCUUCGACGAGUCGAGUUGUUUGGGAAUGCAGCUCAAAAUGGGUGGUAAAUUUCAUCUAAAGCUAAAUAUUGGCCAGAGACCGAUAGCGCACAAGUAGAGUGAUCGAAAGAUGAAAAGCACUUUGGAAAGAGAGUUAAACAGUACGAGAAAUUGUUGAAAGGGAAGCGCUUGCAACCAGACUUGCGCGCGGCCGAUCAUCCGGUGUUCUCACCGGUGCACUCGGCCGUGCUCAGGCCAGCAUCGGUUUUGGCGGCUGGAUAAAGGCCCCAGGAAUGUGGCUCCUCUCGGGGAGUGUUAUAGCCUGGGGUGCAAUGCAGCCUGCUGGGACCGAGGACCGCGCUUCGGCUAGGAUGCUGGCGUAAUGGUUGUAAGCGGCC
rnacentral:rRNA from 1 species